rnacentral:rRNA from 1 species
UACGUAGGGGGCGAGCGUUGUCCGGAGUUACUGGGCGUAAAGGGCAUGCAGGCGGUCGGACGCGUUUCGGGUGACAGCGGGUGGCUUAACUACCCGAGUGGUCGAAAGACGGUUUGACUUGAGGACGCGAGAGGGACACGGAAUUCCGGGUGGAGUGGUGAAAUGCGUAGAGAUCCGGAGGAACACCGAAGGCGAAGGCAGUGUCCUGGCGCGUAACUGACGCUGAGGUGGCGAAAGCCAGGGGAGCGAACGGG